rnacentral:rRNA from 1 species
UACGUAGGGUGCAAGCGUUGUCCGGAAUUAUUGGGCGUAAAGAGCUCGUAGGCGGCUUGUCGCGUCGUCCGUGAAAACCUGCAGCUCAACUGCAGGCUUGCGGUCGAUACGGGCAGGCUAGAGUUCGGUAGGGGAGACUGGAAUUCCUGGUGUAGCGGUGAAAUGCGCAGAUAUCAGGAGGAACACCGGUGGCGAAGGCGGGUCUCUGGGCCGAUACUGACGCUGAGGAGCGAAAGCGUGGGGAGCGAACAGG